rnacentral:rRNA from 1 species
GACGAACGCUGGCGGCGUGCUUAACACAUGCAAGUCGAACGCGCUCCACUUCUUCGGGAGUGAAGUGAGUGGCGAACGGGUGAGUAACACGUGAGCAACCUGCCCUUGACCCUGGAAUAACAGCUGGAAACAGCUGCUAAUACCGGAUACGACCUCCGAUGGCAUCAUCUGGAGGUGGAAAGCUCCGACGGUCAAGGAUGGGCUCGCGGCCUAUCAGCUUGNGGUGAGGUAACGGCUCACCAAGGCUUCGACGGGUAGCCGGCCUGAGAGGGCGACCGGCCACACUGGGACUGAGACACGGCCCAGACUCCUACGGGAGGCAGCAGUGGGGAAUAUUGCACAAUGGGCGCAAGCCUGAUGCAGCGACGCCGCGUGGGGGAGUGACGGCC